GUGUUCGCUUCGGCAGCACAUAUACUAAAAUUGAAAUGAUACAGAGAAGAUUAGCAUGGCCCCUGUGCAAGGAUGACACGCAAAUUCAUGAAGCAUUCCAUAUUUAA
rnacentral:snRNA from 1 species